rnacentral:rRNA from 1 species
GGAGCUCUCCCAUAUGGUCGACCUGCAGGCGGCCGCGAAUUCACUAGUGAUUGUUUGAUCCUGGCUCAGGAUGAACGCUAGCGACAGGCCUAACACAUGCAAGUCGAGGGGUAUAAGUAGCUUGCUACUUAGAGACCGGCGCACGGGUGAGUAACGCGUAUGCAACCUACCUUUUACUGGGGGAUAGCCCAAAGAAAUUUGGGUUAAUACCGCAUAAUAUAUUUGAAUCGCAUGGUUUAAAUAUUAAAACUUCGGUGGUAAAAGAUGGGCAUGCGUAGCAUUAGUUUGUUGGUGAGGUAACGGCUCACCAAGACUAUGAUGCUUAGGGGGUCUGAGAGGAUAGUCCCCCACACUGGUACUGAGACACGGACCAGACUCCUACGGGAGGCAGCAGUGAGGAAUAUUGGUCAAUGGGCGCAAGCCUGAACCAGCCAUGUCGCGUGCAGGAUGACGGCCCUAUGGGUUGUAAACUGCUUUUUUACAGGAAUAAACUUUGCUACGUGUAGCAAACUGAAGGUACUGUAAGAAUAAGGAUCGGCUAACUCCGUGCCAGCAGCCGCGGUAAUACGGAGGAUCCAAGCGUUAUCCGGAUUUAUUGGGUUUAAAGGGUCCGUAGGCGGGCUUUUAAGUCAGUGGUGAAAUCCCAGAGCUCAACUCUGGAACUGCCAUUGAUACUGAAGGUCUUGAAUUUAGUUGAGGUGGGCGGAAUACGUUAUGUAGCGGUGAAAUGCAUAGAUAUAACGUAGAACACCGAUUGCGAAGGCAGCUCACUAAGCUAACAUUGACGCUGAUGGACGAAAGCGUGGGGAGCGAACAGGAUUAGAUACCCUGGUAGUCCACGCCGUAAACGGUGAUUACUCGUUGUGCACGAUACACUGUGCGUGACUGAGCGAA